CGAAUACCAAAUGCAGCAGCAAACCCCAGAAGGAGCUUCCUGAGAGAGUGACGGCUCUGCUUGGUGAGCCAGCGCUGGAUGCACAUUCCUGAUGCUGCUGCUGUGCCCGGUCCCUGCUCAGGGCUGUCUCCAGGGUGAAAAUGGGCUGGGAAUGCUCGAUGGGGAUGCUCGCAGUGAGAGCUCACACCUUCCCACCUCCCUGGAAAAGGAAGGAGAAGCAAAGCUGGCAGCCUGGAUGUCGUAGCUGGAGCAGGGGAAUCUAGGCCAGCCAACAUCUGUCCCUGGCAAAGCAAUCAGGAAAGCUGAUGUAUGAUUCAAUUGAUAAAGAAUUAAAGGGCAGAAAUAUAAUUAA